rnacentral:rRNA from 1 species
CAAGUCGAGCGAUGAAGCACCUUCGGGUGUGAAUUAGCGGCGAACGGGUGAGGAACACGUGAGAAAUCUGCCUUCAACUCUGGGAUAACUCCGGGAAACCGGGGCUAAUACCGGAUAUGAGCCUUGAUCGCAUGAUCGGGGCUGGAAAGUUUUUCGGUUGAAGAUGAUCUCGCGGCCUAUCAGCUUGUUGGUGAGGUAAUGGCUCACCAAGGCGACGACGGGUAGCCGGCCUGAGAGGGCGACCGGCCACACUGGGACUGAGACACGGCCCAGACUCCUACGGGAGGCAGCAGUGGGGAAUAUUGGGCAAUGGAGGAAACUCUGACCCAGCGACGCCGCGUGAGGGAUGAAGGCCUUCGGGUUGUAAACCUCUUUCAGUAGGGAAGAAGCGAAAGUGACGGUACCUACAGAAGAAGCACCGGCUAACUAUGUGCCAGCAGCCGCGGUAAUACAUAGGGUGCAAGCGUUGUCCGGAAUUAUUGGGCGUAAAGAGCUCGUAGGUGGUUCGAUACGUCGGAUGUGAAAAUCAGGGGCUCAACCCCUGACCUGCAUUCGAUACGGUCGAGCUAGAGUGUGGUAGGGGAGACUGGAAUUCCUGGUGUAGCGGUGGAAUGCGCAGAUAUCAGGAGGAACACCGAUGGCGAAGGCAGGUCUCUGGGCCAUUACUGACACUGAGGAGCGAAAGCGUGGGGAGCGAACAGGAUUAGAUACCCUGGUAGUCCACGCCGUAAACGGUGGGCGCUAGUUGUGCGAACCUUCCACGGUUUGUGCGACGCAGCUAACGCAUUUAAGCGCCCCGCCUGGGGAGUACGAUCGCAAGAUUAAAACUCAAAGGAAUUGACGG